rnacentral:rRNA from 1 species
AGAGUUUGAUCAUGGCUCAGAACGAACGCUGGCGGCGUGCUUAACACAUGCAAGUCGAGCGAGAAAGGGGGGGCAACCCCCUGAGUAGAGCGGCGCACGGGUGAGUAACGCGUGGGUAACCUACCCCCAGGCGGGGGAUAACCACUCGAAAGGGUGGCUAAUACCGCAUGAGACCACGAGAUCUUCGGAUCUUGCGGCUAAAGAUUGCACCGGCUUGCCGGUGCCGUCACCAGGGGAUGGGCCCGCGUCCGAUUAGCUAGUUGGCGAGGUAAUGGCUCACCAAGGCUACGAUCGGUAGCUGGUCUGAGAGGAUGAUCAGCCACACUGGAACUGAAACACGGUCCAGACUCCUACGGGAGGCAGCAGUGAGGAAUAUUGCGCAAUGGGGGAAACCCUGACGCAGCAACGCCGCGUGGGUGAAGAAGGCCUUCGGGUCGUAAAGCCCUUUCGGACGGGACGAACGCUUCGCGGUGAAAGCCGCGAAGUCUGACGGUACCGUAGGAAGAAGCACCGGCUAACUCCGUGCCAGCAGCCGCGGUAAUACGGAGGGUGCGAGCGUUGUUCGGAAUUACUGGGCGUAAAGCGCGUGUAGGCGGCCUUGCAAGUCAGGCGUGAAAGCCCUCGGCUUAACCGGGGAAGUGCGUCUGAAACUGCUUGGCUUGAGUACGGGAGAGGGAGGCGGAAUUCCCAGUGUAGAGGUGAAAUUCGUAGAUAUUGGGAGGAACACCGGUGGCGAAAGC